UACGUAGGGUGCGAGCGUUGUCCGGAUUUAUUGGGCGUAAAGAGCUUGUAGGCGGCUCGUCGCGUCGGGUGUGAAAACUUGCGGCUUAACCGCAAGCCUGCACCCGAUACGGGCGGGCUAGAGUUCGGCAGGGGAGACUGGAAUUCCUGGUGUAGCGGUGGAAUGCGCAGAUAUCAGGAGGAACACCGGUGGCGAAGGCGGGUCUCUGGGCCGAUACUGACGCUGAGAAGCGAAAGCGUGGGGAGCGAACAGG
rnacentral:rRNA from 1 species